AGAUUGAACGCUGGCGGCGUGCUUAACACAUGCAAGUCGAGCGGCAGCGCGGUAGCAAUACUGGCGGCGAGCGGCGGACGGGUGAGUAACGCUUGGGAAUCUGCCUAUUAGUGGGGGACAACCCGGGGAAACUCGGGCUAAUACCGCAUACGCUCUACGGAGGAAAGCCGGGGACCGCAAGGCCUGGCGCUAAUAGAUGAGCCCAAGUCGGAUUAGCUAGUUGGUAGGGUAACGGCCUACCAAGGCGACAAUCCGUAGCUGGUCUGAGAGGACGACCAGCCACACCGGAACUGAGACACGGUCCGGACUCCUACGGGAGGCAGCAGUGGGGAAUAUUGGACAAUGGGGGAAACCCUGAUCCAGCGACGCCGCGUGGGUGAAGAAGGCCUGCGGUUGUAAAGCCCUUUCGGUGAGGAAGAAAAGUUGCGACCUAACACGUCGCGACCUUGACGUAACUCAUUAAAGAAGCACCGGCUAACUCUGUGCCAGCAGCCGC
rnacentral:rRNA from 1 species